GAUGAACGCUGGCGGCGUGCCUAAUACAUGCAAGUCGAGCGAACGGACGAGAAGCUUGCUUCUCUGAUGUUAGCGGCGGACGGGUGAGUAACACGUGGAUAACCUACCUAUAAGACUGGGAUAACUUCGGGAAACCGGAGCUAAUACCGGAUAAUAUUUUGAACCGCAUGGUUCAAAAGUGAAAGACGGUCUUGCUGUCACUUAUAGAUGGAUCCGCGCUGCAUUAGCUAGUUGGUAAGGUAACGGCUUACCAAGGCAACGAUGCAUAGCCGACCUGAGAGGGUGAUCGGCCACCCUGGAACUGAGACGCGGUCCAGACUCCUACGGGAGGCAGCAGUAGGGAAUCUUCCGCAAUGGGCGAAAGCCUGACGGAGCAACGCCGCGUGAGUGAUGAAGGUCUUCGGAUCGUAAAACUCUGUUAUUAGGGAAGAACAUAUGUGUAAGUAACUGUGCACAUCUUGACGGUACCUAAUCAGAAAGCCACGGCUAACUACGUG
rnacentral:rRNA from 1 species